AAGGCACACAUUUUUGUGUCACAAAGCCCAUGGGCGUAAUGACACUUUUAAGUGUGUCCUAACGCCCGCCCACUCCAAAAAAAAAUAGAGCGCCCGAGGGCGCUGUAACACAAUUGAAGAGUGUCAUAACUCCCGAAACUUGAAAAGCGCAUUGUGAAUCGAUGAAAGAACCGUUCCAAAAGUAUCGUUUAAUAUGUUAUCUCUUUUGUUUUCGUGUUUUUUUGGCGCAUUUGCCAGGAGUAAUUGUAGCCAGUUGUUCAUUAAUCUUGAAGCAAAGCACAUUUAAAAAGCAAUGAAUAUAAUUUUGUUGCUGGCUUUCGAAAAAAUUCUAAGCUAUUGGUUCUCACAAGCCAGCAACAAAUAUUUAAAAUUAAAAGUACUUCGAAGACUAGUUCGCGUUACAUUUGUUAGACUGUAAUAUGACCGUGAGCUUGUCCAAUGCUGGCGUUUGCACUCAACUGAGUCUCGAGUACAACCACAAUCAUUUGACUCGUCAAGAAUUAAUAAAAAAGCUCGAACUAAUCAAUAAUGUAAAAGUCAUUGUGAGCAAAGAAACUUAAAACGAAAAAGAGUGCGUGAAAUCUUUUAUGAAGAGUGUCAAAAGAGUGGAGAAACUGCACAUUCAGUUGCCGAUCCAUUUUGAAAGACCAAUUGCUUGAACUGGCAAAAACUAAACAUGAUAUUCUUAAACGGUUUUUGAAAUAUUAUUAAAGGGAAUACAUGGUCAAAAUCACACCUGAUGUUUUCUCUGUGCGUUCACAGAUUAUGCGAACAACUAACUCUUUAGAAUCCUUCAACGCGGUAUUAUCGAGACAAUUACAGAAGCAUGGCCGAUUUCAUAAAUUUAUUGAAGUUAUUCGAGAUGAGUACUAUGCUAGUACUCAUGCAAAAGAAAAUAAAAUUGAAGGCCUUCUUAAGGAUAUGGAGAGUAAAAACACA